rnacentral:pre_miRNA from 1 species
CAACUACUCCCUCUAUCCCAAAUUUCUUGUCUUAAAUUUGUCUAGAUACAGAUGUAUCUAAUACUAAAAUGUGACUUGAUACAUCCGUAUCUAGACAAAUCUAAGACAAGAAUUUUGGGACGGAGGAAGUACUUU